CAAUAGCGUAUAUUAAAGUUGUUGCAGUUAAAAAGCUCGUAGUUGGAUUUGUGGUGUACGCCGGCGGCCCGCCGCAAGACGGAGCUUGCUUGCGUCGCCAUCCUUGGGUGGAUCCUGUGUGGCAUUCAGUUGUCGUGCAGGGGAUGCCCAUCGUUUACUGUGAAAAAAUUAGAGUGUUCAAAGCAGGCUUAUGCCGUUGAAUAUAUUAGCAUGGAAUAAUAAGAUAGGACCUUGGUACUAUUUUGUUGGUUUGCGCACCAAGGUAAUGAUUAAUAGGGACAGUUGGGGGUAUUCGUAUUCCAUUGUCAGAGGUGAAAUUCUUGGAUUUUUGGAAGACGAACUACUGCGAAAGCAUUUACCAAGGAUGUUUUCAUUAA
rnacentral:rRNA from 1 species